rnacentral:rRNA from 1 species
UACAGAGGUGGCAAGCGUUGUUCGGAAUUACUGGGCGUAAAGGGCGCGUAGGCGGCCUUCUUAGUCGGACGUGAAAUCCCCGGGCUUAACUCGGGAACUGCGUCCGAUACUGGAAGGCUGGAGUUCGGGAGAGGAAUGUGGAAUUCCAGGUGUAGCGGUGAAAUGCGUAGAUAUCUGGAGGAACACCGGUGGCGAAGGCGGCAUCCUGGACCGACACUGACGCUGAGGCGCGAAAGCUAGGGUAGCAAACGGG